rnacentral:rRNA from 1 species
UGGGGAAUCUUGGACAAUGGGGGCAACCCUGAUCCAGCCAUGCCGCGUGAGUGAUGAAGGCCUUAGGGUCGUAAAGCUCUUUCGCCUGUGAAGAUAAUGACGGUAGCAGGUAAAGAAACCCCGGCUAACUCCGUGCCAGCAGCCGCGGUAAUACGGAGGGGGUUAGCGUUGUUCGGAAUUACUGGGCGUAAAGCGCACGUAGGCGGACCAGAAAGUUGGGGGUGAAAUCCCGGGGGCUCAACCCCGGAACUGCCUCCAAAACUAUUGGUCUAGAGUUCGAGAGAGGUGAGUGGAAUUCCAAGUGUAGAGGUGAAAUUCGUAGAUAUUUGGAGGAACACCAGUGGCGAAGGCGGCUCACUGGCUCGAUACUGACGCUGAGGUGCGAAAGUGUGGGGAGCAAACAGGAUUAGAUACCCUGGUAGUCCACACCGUAAAACGAUGAAUGCCAGUCGUCGGGUAGCAUGCUAUUCGGUGACACACCUAACGGAUUAAGCAUUCCGCCUGGGGAGUACGGUCGCAAGAUUAAAACUCAAAGAAUUG